AUGAACGCUAGCUACAGGCUUAACACAUGCAAGUCGAGGGGCAGCAUGGUCUUAGCUUGCUAAGGCCGAUGGCGACCGGCGCACGGGUGAGUAACACGUAUCCAACCUGCCGUCUACUCUUGGACAGCCUUCUGAAAGGAAGAUUAAUACAAGAUGGCAUCAUGAGUCCGCAUGUUCACAUGAUUAAAGGUAUUCCGGUAGACGAUGGGGAUGCGUUCCAUUAGAUAGUAGGCGGGGUAACGGCCCACCUAGUCUUCGAUGGAUAGGGGUUCUGAGAGGAAGGUCCCCCACAUUGGAACUGAGACACGGUCCAAACUCCUACGGGAGGCAGCAGUGAGGAAUAUUGGUCAAUGGGCGAGAGCCUGAACCAGCCAAGUAGCGUGAAGGAUGACUGCCCUAUGGGUUGUAAACUUCUUUUAUAAAGGAAUAAAGUCGGGUAUGGAUACCCGUUUGCAUGUACUUUAUGAAUAAGGAUCGGCUAACUCCGUGCCAGCAGCCGCGGUAAUACGGAGGAUCCGAGCGUUAUCCGGAUUUAUUGGGUUUAAAGGGAGCGUAGAUGGAUGUUUAAGUCAGUUGUGAAAGUUUGCGGCUCAACCGUAAAAUUGCAGUUGAUACUGGAUAUCUUGAGUGCAGUUGAGGCAGGCGGAAUUCGUGGUGUAGCGGUGAAAUGCUUAGAUAUCACGAAGAACUCCGAUUGCGAAGGCAGCCUGCUAAGCUGCAACUGACAUUGAGGCUCGAAAGUGUGGGUAUCAAACAGGAUUAGAUACCCUGGUAGUCCACACGGUAAACGAUGAAUACUCGCUGUUUGCGAUAUACUGCAAGCGGCCAAGCGAAAGCGUUAAGUAUUCCACCUGGGGAGUACGCCGGCAACGGUGAAACUCAAAGGAAUUGACGGGGGCCCGCACAAGCGGAGGAACAUGUGGUUUAAUUCGAUGAUACGCGAGGAACCUUACCCGGGCUUAAAUUGCAGAUGAAUUACGGUGAAAGCCGUAAGCCGCAAGGCAUCUGUGAAGGUGCUGCAUGGUUGUCGUCAGCUCGUGUCGUGAGAUGUUGGGUUAAGUCCCGCAACGAGCGCAACCCCUGUUGCCAGUUGCCAGCAUUAAGUUGGGGACUCUGGCGAGACUGCCGGUGACAAGCCGGAGGAAGGCGGGGAUGACGUCAAAUCAUCAUGCCCCUUAUGACCUGGGCUACACACGUACUACAAUGGCGUUUAACAAAGAGAAGCAAGACCGCGAGGUGGAGCAAAACUCAGAAACAACGUCCCAGUUCGGACUGCAGGCUGCAACUCGCCUGCACGAAGUCGGAAUUGCUAGUAAUCGUGGAUCAGCAUGCCACGGUGAAUACGUUCCCGGGCCUUGUACACACCGCCCGUCACACCAUGAGAGUUGGCAACACCCGAAGCCGGCGGCCCAACCCGCAAGGGAGGGAGCUGUCUAAGGUGGGGCUGAUGAUUGGGGUG
rnacentral:rRNA from 1 species